ACUCCUGAGCUCUGUGCUGCAACCUUGGGGCAUUGGGCUCUGUCUUUCGGCCCCUCGGGGUCAGACCCCUGCUGUGUUGGGGGAUCCGAAGUGCUCCCAAGCUGCCUGGAAAGCAUUCAGGCGGGGUCGCUAGCAAGAACUCAGGCUGGGCAGCGGAGGCGGCACAGUGCACACACUCCUGCAGGAACAACCAGACAGGGGCUUUGGGAGGGGCUGCGUGCAGGGGGUCCCGCAGAACAUAUGCGCCCCAGUCCCGCAGGAAGGACCGCCCUGCUCUCUCUUGGCUCACUGGUGGGGACAGCACUUCCUGGAAUAACGUUGCUUUGGAUUUAACAACAGUUGGGCAAAGGAGGUCGGUAUACAGAUACAGGACAAGAAGAGUGGUGUCAAAGGGAGGCUAAAUCAUUGGUUCUGGCUUCAUCUAAGGAAUUCUUAUGAGAAAUCGAGGGAGAGACUGUCCUGGGAAGUCUGAUGAAACAUGAUCAAGAUAUUUUAACUUCUGUGUUUAGCGCCUUUAAUAGAUUGAGCUAAGAAGUCUAAGCAAUCUUCAGGGCUAAGAAACAAGCUGCACUUGCCAGAGUUGGAUGUUCACACCUUGGUGAUGGCUGAUAUUAAACAGAAUUCUUAAUGAACAAAUCGGCCUUGAAAAGGGAACAUGGUGAAGCAAGACAAAAGAAUUACAAACUUUGACUGAAACUUUCUCCUACCAGGAAUACAGGGACCGCUCACCAGGUUGUGAUGAGAAGGAUCAUCUGAAAUGCUCCAUUGCUCUCAGAAGUUGAGGUAACUUCAUUGGGCCCAAACUGAUAAACUAGGAAUGGCUCAGAAAAUAGCCCCUUAGAAGAACUGUAUGAAGCUUGGAUCCAUUUUUCUGAGAAAAAAGAAAAAUCCCUCCAAUGAUUUGGUGAGGAGUUGAAGACAAAUAUCUUUAUUAUUUAUAAGUAUUCUGGCCAAGACAAUGAGUGUUGGAGUGGGAGGAUGAGGGAAUUUUAUGAUGAACGACAGCACAGCAAGAUGGACAGUAAGGCUCUGUCAUUGCCAUACCAGAUGUACAGAAGUGGUAAGUCUUCACAGUUCACUUGGGUUUAUUUUGUCAUGUCAGCAAUCGAAGACACUUCU
rnacentral:lncRNA from 1 species